rnacentral:rRNA from 1 species
AGCAGCCGCGGUAAUUCCAGCUCCAAUAGCGUAUAUUAAAGUUGUUGCAGUUAAAAGCUCGUAGUUGAAUUUCGGGGUUAGUAGAUUGGUCAUGCCUCUGGUAUGUACUGGUUUCACUGAUUCCUCCUUCCUGAUGAACCGUAAUGCCAUUUAUUUGGUGUUGUGGGGAAUUUGGACUGUUACUUUGAAAAAUUAGAGUGUUAAAGCAAGCUAACGCUUGAAUACAUUAGCAUGGAAUAAUGAAAUAGGACGUUCGAUCCUAUUUUGUUGGUUUCUAGGAUUGACGUAAUGAUUAAUAGGGAUAGUUGGGGGCAUUAGUAUUCAAUUGUCAGAGGUGAAAUUCUUGGAUUUAUUGAAGACUAACUACUGCGAAAGCAUUUGCCAAGGAUGUUUUCAUUAAUCAAGAACGAAGUUAGGGGAUCGAAGACGAUCAGAUACCGUCGUAGUCUUAACCAUAAAACUAUGCCGACUAGGGAUCGGAUGAUGUUGAUUUUUUAAUGACUCAUUUGGCGCCUUACGG